AGAGCAGGUAGAUUGAAGUCAGAUGGAUCUGACUUUAGAUCUCAGGGCCAACAUUUGACAGCUCUGUUCUUUGCUCAAGUUACUUAACAUCUCUGAGCCUCAAGUCUGUCUUCUGUAAAAUGACAGUAAUAAUACCUACCUCACAGGGUUACGGGGAGAAUUAAGAAAGGUAAUGUGUGAUGCAUAAUACCUGACAUGUGGUGGAUAAUCAAUAAAGAUCUGUCCCCUUUCCCUAGUAUAGCCUAGAAGUAAAUGUCACUUUAUAGUUUGUGUUUCCUUAUACUUAAGGUAUCUUCAUUGGACUGGAGAGGCACUAUGGAGGAGUUAAAGCAUACAGCAAAUGGAACUGAAUUGCCUGAGCUUGAAGCCUGGUUUCACUGCUCUCUAGCUGUAUAACUGGGCUAGUUACUUAGCCUGUUUGUAUCCCAGUUUCCACCGAGGCUGAAUUGAAUGAAUAUAGGUGAAUGGUGUGGAACAGUGUCCAGCACAUAGUGAGCACUUGUGACCUGCCGCUUCUCCAUCAACAGGUGGUGUCCCCUCACCUUGAAUCUGCGUGGGCUUUUCACACCUUUGUUCAAUACAGCAUGGUGGAAGUAACUCUAUGAGUUACAACACAACAUUCAGCUUCUAUCUGGUCUACCAGAACACAUGCAUUUGGAGCCCUGAGGCCACCAUGCUUGUGAGGAGGCUGAGCCACAUGGGGAGGCCACAUGGAGGUGCUCUGGUCAGCAGCCCUACUCUACAAGCCACCUUUUUAUCCCAGGUAUGAGAGUGAAGCAGCCUCCAGGUAUGAGGAUUCCAGCCCCCAGCCGCUGAGUCACUCUCAGCUUUUAAGCCUUUCCAUCUGAGAACUCAGAUGUCCCAGAGCAGAAUGAACACAUCCUUUUUGUGCCCUAUCCAAAUUCCUGACCCACAGAAUCUAUGAGCUUAUUAAAAUGGUGGUUGUUUUAAG
rnacentral:lncRNA from 1 species